UAGGGAAUAUUGGACAAUGGGGGCAACCCUGAUCCAGCCAUGCCGCGUGAGUGAAGAAGGCCCUCGGGUUGUAAAGCUCUUUUGUCCGGAAAGAAAAGCUUCGGGUUAAUACCCCGGGGUUCUGACGGUACCGGAAGAAUAAGCACCGGCUAACUUCGUGCCAGCAGCCGCGGUAAUACGAAGGGUGCAAGCGUUACUCGGAAUUACUGGGCGUAAAGCGUGCGUAGGUGGUUGUUUAAGUCUGAUGUGAAAGCCCUGGGCUCAACCUGGGAAUGGCAUUGGAAACUGGGCAGCUAGAGUGCGGUAGAGGGUAGUGGAAUUCCCGGUGUAGCAGUGAAAUGCGUAGAGAUCGGGAGGAACAUCUGUGGCGAAGGCGACUGCCCGGACCAGCACUGACACUGAGGCACGAAAGCGUGGGGAGCAAACA
rnacentral:rRNA from 1 species